GCUGACGAGUGGCGGACGGGUGAGUAAUGUCUGGGAAACUGCCUGAUGGAGGGGGAUAACUACUGGAAACGGUAGCUAAUACCGCAUAACGUCGCAAGACCAAAGAGGGGGACCUUCGGGCCUCUUGCCAUCGGAUGUGCCCAGAUGGGAUUAGCUAGUAGGUGGGGUAACGGCUCACCUAGGCGACGAUCCCUAGCUGGUCUGAGAGGAUGACCAGCCACACUGGAACUGAGACACGGUCCAGACUCCUACGGGAGGCAGCAGUGGGGAAUAUUGCACAAUGGGCGCAAGCCUGAUGCAGCCAUGCCGCGUGUAUGAAGAAGGCCUUCGGGUUGUAAAGUACUUUCAGCGGGGAGGAAGGGGGUGAGGUUAAUAACCUUGUCGAUUGACGUUACCCGCAGAAGAAGCACCGGCUAACUCCGUGCCAGCAGCCGCGGUAAUACGGAGGGUGCAAGCGUUAAUCGGAAUUACUGGGCGUAAAGCGCACGCAGGCGGUCUGUCAAGUCGGAUGUGAAAUCCCCGGGCUCAACCUGGGAACUGCAUUCGAAACUGGCAGGCUAGAGUCUUGUAGAGGGGGGUAGAAUUCCAGGUGUAGCGGUGAAAUGCGUAGAGAUCUGGAGGAAUACCGGUGGCGA
rnacentral:rRNA from 1 species